UGGGGAAUUUUGGACAAUGGGGGCAACCCUGAUCCAGCAAUGCCGCGUGUGUGAAGAAGGCCUUCGGGUUGUAAAGCACUUUUGUCCGGAAAGAAAUCGCACUUACUAAUAUUAGGUGUGGAUGACGGUACCGGAAGAAUAAGGACCGGCUAACUACGUGCCAGCAGCCGCGGUAAUACGUAGGGUCCAAGCGUUAAUCGGAAUUACUGGGCGUAAAGCGUGCGCAGGCGGUUGUGCAAGACCGAUGUGAAAUCCCCGGGCUUAACCUGGGAAUUGCAUUGGUGACUGCACGGCUAGAGUGUGUCAGAGGGGGGUAGAAUUCCACGUGUAGCAGUGAAAUGCGUAGAGAUGUGGAGGAAUACCGAUGGCGAAGGCAGCCCCCUGGGAUAACACUGACGCUCAUGCACGAAAGCGUGGGGAGCAAACAGG
rnacentral:rRNA from 2 species